rnacentral:rRNA from 1 species
GACGAAGGAUGCAAGCGUUAUCCGGAUUCAUUGGGUUUAAAGGGAGCGUAGGCGGACUUAUAAGUCAGUGGUGAAAUCUCUGGGCUUAACUCAGAAACUGCCAUUGAUACUGUAGGUCUAGAGUACAUUUGCUGUGGGCGGAAUAUGACAUGUAGUGGUGAAAUACUUAGAUAUGUCAUAGAACACCGAUUGCGAAGGCAGCUCACAAAAAUGUAACUGACGCUGAGGCUCGAAAGUGCGGGGAUCAAAACAGG